AAGACUAUACUUUCAGGGAUCAUUUCUAUAGUUCGUUACUAGAGAAGUUCCUCUGAUCGUGUAGAGCACCGGAAACCACGAGGAGGAGGCGUAGCGUCCUUUCCUGAGCGUGAAGCCAGCUCUGGCUCUGAGUGUUGCUUAUGCAACUGCUCUUUGCCAUUGAUGAUCGUUCUUCUCUCCAUUUUGGAGAGUUAGAGGGAGAGGACGCAGUCUGAGUGGC